UGUGGGAGCGGGCUUGCUCGCGAAUACGGUGUAUCAGUAUCAGAUGUUCUGACUGAAAAACCGCAUUCGCGGGCAAGCCCGCUCCCACA
rnacentral:misc_RNA from 1 species